UGACUCCGUCGACGUUCCGCAUUAAGUGGAAAUUGCCGGCUUUCCACCAGAUUUUGGAACCUGGCUGCACAGAUUUGCCCCCAUUCAGCCGCAAGAGCAUUCAUGAGGUCGGACACUGAUGUUGGGUGAUAAGGGCAGUCGAGAUAAUGUUCGUAAUGAGUUACUGCUGCUCCUUUACCGGGAGAGAAUGAGGAGGGUGAGGAGCCACGUUAGGCAAAUGGAAAGUGUGCACGAAGCGGUGAUGCAGCUCGGACACGUUACCUCUGGAGCCCUGCUUAUUUUAGGAAGACAUAAUUAUAGUCUCCUGUUUUCUUAGGACUUAGGAGUUACUGCAGUCAGCACUGAAGAAUCACACUGAGACUUUGGUCUACUUUUUACAAACUUUUUGACACAAAGUUUAGGAACAUUGUUGAGACAUUUUCUUAGAUGUUUAAUACCAGCUGUGCGCUGAUCACAGAUUACAUUUCUUGCAAUGCUUCAGUCUACCAACCCAAAAGAGUUCUGAAUCACAAGACAAACUUCUCCUUCAGUUUCCCGGAGCGCUUUCUAAAUCUGGAGAUAGUGUUCAGUGUUCAUUAACAGCCUGCAAGCUACAAAAAGA